AGGAGAGCCAAGCACGAAAGACGGCACUGCAGGAAACAAUUUUUCGGUGAAAGAAAAUGAGGACAGAAUAAAUGUCCCGGUGGUGGAUUGGCCAGAUGCAGGUCGAUGUGUAGCAAUAACUCCGUUGUUUGGUGGUGGCUAUGACGGGGCUUCCACAGAGGCAACAGGUGGAUGAGGGAAGGGGAGGCAGGAGGAGAGCCCCGAAGCAGCCACCAGUCCGAGUGUCAGGUGAACUGAACUUCAGCUCACUCUAUGUUCAUGACAUAGCAUCACCUCCUGUCUAGAAGGAUGUUAGCAAGCCACGGGUCUUCUCCUGAAUCCAGUUCACCUAGGAAGAGUCCAUCUGCACAGUCUGCCACCUCAUGCACAGCUGUAGACCUACAAACUCUCCCGUAGUGUCCACGUUUCCCGCAGUUGUGGCAUUCUGCAUUUUUAGCUGGGCACUGUGCUGCUGGGUGCAUCUGUGUUUUUCCACAUUUAAAACACGUUUUAUUUUCUUGUUUUGUUAUUUGUGGUUUUCGUGGCUUGAACUGCUUUUGCUCUCUGCUUCUGAAUUUAUUGGGCUGUGACUUUCUGACAUGC
ensembl:lncRNA